rnacentral:lncRNA from 10 species
AUCCCCACCCCACCUCGGUGACUGAUGGCGGCAGCGGCUUGUCCCUGCCGGGACCCCACCCAACACCGGGUCUCCCAGCCCAAGCCUGCCGGAACGCAGUGUCUUUGGGUGGCGGCGGGAGUGGCGGGCCCGGAAGCAUGGCGGCCACCCAAACGCCAGGCGAUGGAAGCCGUUAGGGCGUGGCGGAACCGGAAGGCGGCCUAGGGACGCACGCAGGCUCGGCUGUCUCUUUAGGCCACGGAGCUGCGUAGAUCCGGAACCCUGGGCGACUGAUCUGUCCCCAUUGGGCGAGACCUACCUAGACAAAGGCCUUAACAUACCGACAAAGGCCUUAAGGGGCCUGGGAGGGAAGUCGUACAAAAUAAAUGUCUUCUGGAGAUGAUUUUUGGAAAUGGAGUUAUUAGACAGCCCCUGGAAGCGAUACAUCCACGUUUGUUCAGUGGGUUAGAUGACAUGGAGCUGGAAGACCUGAGAAGGAAGAGAAGAAGGUUCUAUGACAGACUGGUCAUAUUUAGAAGACACUUUCAUAUUCUAUCCAUAGUUUUGUAUGCAUUUUAUUCCUCACUACCUUAUAUAUAGUUGACAAUGCUAAGCUUUUUUGAAAUGUCUGUUUUUUUAGAUGUUCUGAAGUGCCUGAUAUAUGUUAAAAUUAAAGGUAAUAAAAACACAUUUUGUAAGUAUCUUUUUGUUACAAUUCAUAGAAAAUGUUGCUUUGGUGGGGAAUGGCCAAAUCACCUGUUGAGUAAUACUCAUUGUGUUUGUGCGCUGGUUCAGGGGAGGAGGGAAGAGGGGAAAGUGCAGAGAGCUCUAUGCCACCCUGCCUACAGCGGGGCAAGAUGAAUCAUCUAUUUCUGUGCAUUUUGUUUUACUUAUCUGUGUAUGUAGUGUACAUAAAGGACAAAUGAGCCCUAAUUUACAACAUCUAGUCUUUCUAGAUGCUAAGGAGGUUGCCAGUGUCUGACAAAAGUAAAGUUAGUAAACUAAUAUAUUUUGUACAUUUUGUUUUACAAGUCCUAGGAAAGAUUGUCCUCUGAAAAUUUGAGGGCAUGAACCUUCAGAGCCCUGAGCUGCCUUGUAAGAAGUCUAGCUAGCAAUGCCACCAUGCUGGAGAGAUGAUGAGGGAAAACUACAUACAGACACAAACAGAGUGAGACACUCAAGAAGCCCUAGUUGUGGAAUACAGCAGUGCUAUGGAGGCUUGACAUAACCAUCUACUUUUCCAGAAACCCACAUUGUCUAAGGGUGAUAACAGAGGAAAUACCUGCCUGAUGCUCUCAAUGUCAUCAGUUAAACUGAAGGUAAAAUAACUGCUCUGGAAAAGAAGGCAAGAAAGUAAAACAAGGCAAUUUCACCACAGCCAUCAUCAGGAACUCAGGGGCAAUUUGACUUAAAGCAGCUUGAAAUUUUAAAAGAAAAACAGAAAAUGCAAUCUGUUUUCUCAUUUGGUCUGUUUCCUCUUUAAACAAGCACACUCUAACUCUCUAAAGAUUUCCCCCUAAAAAGAAAACACAUUGCUCAGCUUGACCUAUAAUUUAAAUCACAAUUAAGCUUCCAGUUAGAA